CAGGCCUAACACAUGCAAGUCGAACGGAAAGGCCCUGCUUUUGUGGGGUGCUCGAGUGGCGAACGGGUGAGUAACACGUGAGUAACCUGCCCUUGACCUUGGGAUAACUUCAGGAAACUGGGGCUAAUACCGGAUAGGAGCUCCUGCUGCAUGGUGGGGGUUGGAAAGUUUCGGCGGUUGGGGAUGGACUCGCGGCUUAUCAGCUUGUUGGUGGGGUAGUGGCUUACCAAGGCUUUGACGGGUAGCCGGCCUGAGAGGGUGACCGGCCACAUUGGGACUGAGAUACGGCCCAGACUCCUACGGGAGGCAGCAGUGGGGAAUAUUGCACAAUGGGCGGAAGCCUGAUGCAGCAACGCCGCGUGCGGGAUGACGGCCUUCGGGUUGUAAACCGCUUUCGCCUGUGACGAAGCGUGAGUGACGGUAAUGGGUAAAGAAGCACCGGCUAACUACGUGCCAGCAGCCGCGGUGAUACGUAGGGUGCGAGCGUUGUCCGGAUUUAUUGGGCGUAAAGGGCUCGUAGGUGGUUGAUCGCGUCGGAAGUGUAAUCUUGGGGCUUAACCCUGAGCGUGCUCUCGAUACGGGUUGACUUGAGGAAGGUAGGGGAGAAUGGAAUUCCUGGUGGAGCGGUGGAAUGCGCAGAUAUCAGGAGGAACACCAGUGGCGAAGGCGGUUCUCUGGGCCUUUCCUGACGCUGAGGAGCGAAAGCGUGGGGAGCGAACAGGCUUAGAUACCCUGGUAGUCCACGCUGUA
rnacentral:rRNA from 1 species